UACGUAGGGGGCGAGCGUUGUCCGAAGUUACUGGGCGUAAAGCGCGCGUAGGCGGUUUCUUAAGUCUGGGGUGAAAGGUUCAGCGCUCAACGCGAACAGUGCCUUGGAUACUGGGAGACUUGAGUCUGGGAGGGGGCAGUGGAAUUCCUGGUGUAGCGGUGAAAUGCGUAGAUAUCAGGAGGAACACCGGUGGCGAAGGCGGGUCUCUGGGCCGAUACUGACGCUGAGGAGCGAAAGCGUGGGGAGCGAACAGG
rnacentral:rRNA from 1 species